GGCCUUGAUGGUUGAGGGCAGUUAGGGUCGGGAGAACCAGGGUAGCACGCGGGUUUUCUUGUGGUUGGCGGGGGCGUGGGUCGAGGGCACCUAGGGUCAUUGUUUCCUGGAUAACAGUUAGGGGGCGCUAGUGUGGUAGGUUUAGGGCAUCGUGGGUCAUUUGAGCCUGGGUAGCAUCUAGGAGCUUGAGUCGUAGGUGCUAAAGUUGUUGGUUUAGGACACCUAGGGUCUGUACUUCCAGGGAAGCAAUUAGGUGGAGCCUGGGUAGUUGGUCGAGGGCACCUAGGGUCAUUGUUUUCUGGAUAACAGUUAGGGGGCGCUUGUGUGGUGGGUUUAGGGCAUCGUGGGUCAUUUGAGCCUGGGUAACAUCUAGGCGCUUGACUCGUAGGUGCUAAAGUUGUUGGUCGAGGGCACCUAGGGUCUGUGCUUCCAGGGUAGCAAUUAGGUGGAGCCUGGGUAGUUGGUCUAGGACAUCUAGGGUCAUUAUUUCCUGGAUAGCAGUUAGGAGGUGGCUGGGUAGUUGGCUUAGGGCAUCUAGGGUCAUUCGAGCCUGGGUAACACCUUGGUGCUUGAGUGGAAGGUGGCAGGUAAGUAGGUGGCGUUAUAGUCGUAGGUUUUGGAGGUUGAGGGCAGUUAGGGUCAGGGGAUCCAGGGUAGCAUACUGGUUUUUGUGUAGUAGGUUUAGGGCAUCUUGGAUCUGUGCUUCCAGGAUAACACCUAGGUGGUGCUGGAGUAGUAGGUUUGGGGCAACGAGGAUCAUUUGAUCCAGGGAAGCAAUUAGGUGGUGCCGGAGUAGAUGGCCUUGGGCAUCUCGCAUCAGUGGAACCAGGGUAGCAUCUAGGUUUCUCCGGUUCAGGAGGUAAGUAUGUUGGAGGAGUUAGAGUUGUAGGUUUUGAUGGUUGUGGACAGUUAGGAUCGGGAGAACCUGGAUAGCAAUCAGGUUUAGGAGAAGUCGUCCUUGGACAACGUGGAUCCGUGUUUCCAGGGUAACAGUUUGGUGGGGCAGGAGUUGUUGGUCUCGGGCAACGUGGAUCCGUGGAUCCAGGGUAGCAAUUGGGACGGGAAGUGGUUGUAGGCACAGGGGUAGUCCUUGGACAACGUGGAUCCGUGUUUCCAGGGUAACAGUUUGGGGGUGCUGGUGUAGUUGGUCUUGGGCAACGUGGAUCUGUGGAUCCAGGGUAGCAAUUAGGACGAGCAGUGGUUGUAGGUGCAGGGGUGGUUGGGCGGCACCGAGGAUCUGUGCUUCCAGGGUAACAAUUUGGUGGGGUUGGUGU